AGAAGGGAACCUUGGUUUCUACAUGCUUGUACUCACUCCCACUGGCCAGUUCAUCUAUCCUGUUGCAGAGGCCGGUAUUGAAUUCAACUUCUUCAGGAUUCCACUGAAGACUUGAAGACAUGAAGACUUGUGGCAGUUCCUCCAGGACUCCAGCACCAGCAGUAUCAUGAGAAGUGUUCUGCCUUGGGUGAACGAUCUUUACAAACAACUACAGCGUGAUGUGAAGCAUCCUUUGGGAAGAAGCAGCACAGCCUCCAAAGGAAGACGCUUACCUGGAAGAGUCCUUGGCUUGGCUAAUGGUGGG